GUGUCAGCAGCCGCGGUAAGACGGAGGGAGCAAGCGUUGUUCGGAUUUACUGGGCGUAAAGGGCGUCUAGGCGGGUCUGUCAGUCAGGUGUGAAAUCCCCCGGCUCAACCGGGGAAUUGCACUUGAUACUGCAGGUCUUGAGUACGGAAGAGGAAAGCGGAAUUCCUGGUGUAGCGGUGAAAUGCGUAGAUAUCAGGAAGAACACCGGUGGCGAAGGCGGCUUUCUGGUCCGAUACUGACGCUAAAGCGCGAAAGUGUGGGGAGCAAACAGGAUUAGAUACCCUGGUAGUCCACACCGUAAACGAUGGAUACUAGGUGUCGGGGGUAUCGACCCCCCCGGUGCCGCAGCUAACGCAUUAAGUAUCCCGCCUGGGGAGUACGGUCGCAAGGCUGAAACUCAAAUGAAUUGGCGGGG
rnacentral:rRNA from 1 species